rnacentral:piRNA from 1 species
UGGGUGUUGGGUUUGAAAUGCCUCAUGG